rnacentral:rRNA from 1 species
GAUGAACGCUGGCGGUGCUUAACACAUGCAAGUCGAACGGUGAAAGAGAGCUUGCUCUCUGGACCAGUGGCGACGGGUGUAACACGUGAGCAAUCUGCCCCUGACUCUGGGAUAACAGCUGGAAACAGCUGCUAAUACCGGAUACGAGUUGCGAAGGCAUCUCGCAGCUGGAAGAAUUCGGUCAGGGAUGAGCUCGCGGCCAUCAGCUUGGUGAGGUAAUGGCUCACCAGGCGUGACGGGUAGCCGCCUGAGAGGUGACCGGCCACACUGGGACUGAGACACGGCCCAGACUCCUACGGGAGGCAGCAGUGGGGAAUAUCACAAUGGGCGAAACCUAUGCAGCAACGCCGCGUGAGACGACGCCUACGGGUGUAAACCUUUUAGCAAGGAAGAAGCGAAGUGACGGUACUUGCAGAAAAGCGCCGCUAACUACC